GCCGACGUGGCUCAAUUGGUAGAGCAUCUGAUUUGUAAUCAGGCGGUUGGGAGUUCGAGUCUCUCCGUCGGCA